UUUUCUUGUUUUGCGUGUCGGACACCGUGGGGUGUGCCGAGUGUGUUUGAGAGUUGGUUGGGGUAUUCCAAUGAGUUUAGGACUCUUAAAAAUGCACCGAUUGCCAUUUCGGCGUUUUUCCGUUUUUCGGAUCAGAAAGUCCCAUGUGGGACCCACCACUGGAUUUGUUGUGUGCAGACUUUUUGUUUGGGGCCAUUUGAAUCUCAUUUAUUUUUAUUUAUUGUAUUUUAUGUAGAUGUGAUAUGGUUAGUGUGUGUGUAUAUAUGUGUGUGGUGGAAAUUUAAAAAGAGGAAAAAGAUUUUUCUUAGUGGUGGGACCCACCACCACUAACUUUCCAUUUUAGUGGUCAAGAGGCCAACUUUGGCCUCAUUCUUCCUCUCUCUCUCUCUCUCUCUCUCUCUCGGCUAUAUCUCUCUCUCCCUCAUUUCUUUUCUUUUCUUUUUUUUUUUUUUUCUUAUAAAUUUUAAACCUAGAUUAAUCUCUAACCAUUUGGAGAUUUUUAGUGCCGUUUGCGGCAAAACGGAGAGUUCAACGAGAUCUUCACAUUGAUGUAAGCAAUUUACCAUUUGGCCAACCAUAGGAUUUUCGAGUUUAAGGCUUGGGAAUUGGGACUUUUUGCAUUCUUGAAGGACAUGGAAAAGAAGUGGCGGACUAUGAUCCACCACAGCCUUAGCUUAGAUUAGAAGACUACUUUUGGUUAUCGUUGUAAUUAGAUCUUAUUUUGCAAAGCCUUGUAAAGCAUGUAUAUUUUGUAGCUUAUGGUUUGUAAUUAUAAUUCCAUGGUAGUAUUUGUUACAAAUUUGACACAAUGUUGAUAUAACUUAUGUAGAUCAUUUUCGAAUCAAAUAAUGGAUGUGUAAAACUUGUUUUUCAAUGGAA